UACAGAGGGUGCAAGCGUUGUUCGGAAUUAUUGGGCGUAAAGCGCGUGUAGGCGGCUUUGCAAGUCGGGUGUGAAAGCCCUCGGCUCAACCGAGGAAGUGCGCCCGAAACUGCAGAGCUUGAGUACCGGAGAGGAUGGCGGAAUUCCCCAAGUAGAGGUGAAAUUCGUAGAUAUGGGGAGGAACACCAGUGGCGAAGGCGGCUCACUGGACCGGUACUGACGCUGAGGCGCGAAAGCGUGGGGAGCAAACAGG
rnacentral:rRNA from 1 species